UAAAAUCAAAUCAAAGGAACUUGUUUUUUAAUCGACAAUACUCGAUAAAUUUUACUUUCAUUAUUAAGCUUAUAUACCGCCGUUUAAACCUAUUUUAAAUAACUCUUUAUAGCCCUAUCAAAAACUUCAGGUCAAGGUGUAGCCUAUAUUUUAGAUAAAAUAAGUUACUAUAAAACCUAUUUAUAGAAAUAAAGAAAACUUAAAUAAAACAGGAUUUAAAUUCAAUAAUUUAAUAAUAACAAAUUAUGAAGUUUAUUUGAAC
rnacentral:rRNA from 1 species